rnacentral:rRNA from 1 species
GAUGAACGCUGGCGGCGUGCCUAAUACAUGCAAGUCGAGCGAACAGACGAGGAGUUCUCUCCUCUGACGUUCGCGGCGGACGGGUGAGUCCUACGUGGCUAACCUGCCUAUCAGCCUGAGAUCACUUCUGGACCCCGAUGCCCAUACCGGAUAAUAUCUUGAACCGGAUGGUUCGUUGGUCAACGACCGAUCUGCUGUUUCUUAUAGUUGCAUCCGCGCCGGAUUAGCUAGUUGGUAGGGUAACGGCUCACCAAGGCGACGAUGCGUAGUCGUACUGAGAGGGUGAUGGGCCACACGGGAACUGAGACACGGUCCAGACUCCGACGGGAGGCAGCAGUGGGGAAUCUUCGGAAAUGGGCGAAAGCCUGACGGAGCAACGCCGCGUGAGUGAGGAAGGUCUUCGGAUCGUAAAGCACUGUGAUUAGGGAGGAACAAAAGUGUAUUAAUAGAGGUACGUCUUGACGGUACCUAAAGAAUAAGCCACGGCUAACUACGUG